CUUGCACUGGUGCCUUUAAAUAACCAAUGGAAACCCUAUUCCCGCGGCGAUCGGUCCUUUAGACCGGAACGUGCUUGCUCAUCUACAGGAGCAUGACGGGGAUCGCCACCUCCACAGUUCGGUUCGGAGUUGGGUAAGUUUGCCCCGACUCCAAAAUUCACCACGACCAAAUUCUGCGGCCCUGUUUAAAUACUGUCGACAAUAUAUUUCAGCGGUGUCAUUCGUUGCCAUUAUGUAAAGGCCAACAGAAAUUAAGACGGCCGGAUGUUGGGUCAGAACUUAUCUAAUUUGUGGUGGGAGUUUAAAUUCAUUGGUUCUAUGGGUAGCGAUUGGUCUUUAAGAAAGACAUUAACCUGUUAAAUACCGUUAUGGUAUUCUCAUAAAUACCAUUCAAACCUGCCGUGAUAUAGAGAUCCACGAACUCUGCGACAUUGGUGAUUGCGUAAAGACGUAUCUGGUAGCAAGUCGAGUUACACCCAGCACGUUGGCUUCACUCCAAGACUCUGGCCCAAACACAUUUUAGCAGAUGAAAUUGUUUGGGCUAGAACUACUCUGGUUUGCCGAGCGAGGUUAACCACUUCAGCGUUGAACGUCUUGUUCUUGAUCAUGAAGAUUCAAGUUUACGUCCCCGUACGGUGGUUGCCCAUUCACAAGACGGUGUUUUGAUUGCUUGGACUGUGUCUUCGCACAGAAAGGAACUUUGUCUUUAAGAAACAGUCCGUCGUAGUUCUCAACCACAAGUGUCGACAAGUGGCUUGAAGAUCUUGUUUCUACUUUAACUUGUUCUUAAUUUUGCAGAGGAAUACUUCGAUUUCUUAUCCCUAAAUUCCUAAUAUGACUGGAACCGAUUUUUAAUAAAAUUAAGCCAAGGCUUUCAAAUUUGUAAUAAAACAUUCCA